AGUGAACGCUGGCGGUAGGCCUAACACAUGCAAGUCGAACGGCAGCACAGUAAGAGCUUGCUCUUACGGGUGGCGAGUGGCGGACGGGUGAGGAAUACAUCGGAAUCUACUUUUUCGUGGGGGAUAACGUAGGGAAACUUACGCUAAUACCGCAUACGACCUACGGGUGAAAGCAGGGGAUCUUCGGACCUUGCGCGAUUGAAUGAGCCGAUGUCGGAUUAGCUAGUUGGCGGGGUAAAGGCCCACCAAGGCGACGAUCCGCAGCUGGUCUGAGAGGAUGAUCAGCCACACUGGAACUGAGACACGGUCCAGACUCCUACGGGAGGCAGCAGUGGGGAAUAUUGGACAAUGGGCGCAAGCCUGAUCCAGCCAUACCGCGUGGGUGAAGAAGGCCUUCGGGUUGUAAAGCCCUUUUGUUGGGAAAGAAAAGCAGCAGGUUAAUACCCCGCUGUUCUGACGGUACCCAAAGAAUAAGCACCGGCUAACCUCGUG
rnacentral:rRNA from 1 species